UGCCAGCAGCCGCGGUAAUACUGAAGGUGCAAGCGUUAAUCGGAAUCACUGGGCGUAAAGCGCUCGUAGGUGGCUUUGUAAGUCAGAUGUGAAAGCCCACGGCUCAACCGUGGAACUGCAUCCAAAACUGAUUCACUAGAGUACGAUAGAGGGAGGUAGAAUUCACAGUGUAGCGGUGGAAUGCGUAGAUAUUGUGAAGAAUACCAAUGGCGAAGGCAGCCUCCUGGAUCUGUACUGACACUGAGGUGCGAAAGCGUGGGUAGCGAACAGGAUUAGAUA
rnacentral:rRNA from 1 species